AAGUGACUGCGGAGGUCAUUACAAGUUGAAACGGUUGCCCUCGCGGUGACCGGUUCUUCAAACCUCUGCGUACCAAACCUUUCAGUUGCCUCCGGCGGCCCUGGGCCGACGCGGCGCGCGACCUCCCCUUCGCGGGGGGGCCGCUCCUCGCGGCGGACCACCCGCCGGGCGGUCAUAAACAAAACCUUUUGUCGAGAUGGCAUCGUCUAAUUUCUUCAUAACAAAAUAUGAAAUACAACUUUUAACAAUGGAUCUCUUGGCUCCGGCAUCGAUGAAGAACGCAGCGAAAUGCGAUAACUAGUGUGAAUUGCAGAUUUCAGUGAAUCAUCGAGUCUUUGAACGCACAUUGCGCCUCUUGGUAUUCCUCGAGGCAUGCCUGUUCGAGCGUCGUUACGCCCCUCAAGCGCAAGCUUGGUGUUGGGGAUCGCCCCUGAGAUACGGCGGCGGCCCUUAAAUGCAUCGGCGGUGCUGGUGUCAGCCCGGAGCGCAGCAGACAUGCGGCUUCCAGGCGACCACGCGCCCGCCGGACAACGACCCGACUUUCAAACGUCGACCUCGGAUCAGGUAGGGAUACCCGCUGAACUUAAGCAUACUA
rnacentral:rRNA from 1 species